rnacentral:rRNA from 1 species
AGGGUGACCGGGCACCUUGGGACUGAAACACGGCCCAAACUCCUACCGGAGGGAGCAGUGGGGAAUAUUGGACAAUGGGGGAAAGCCUGAUGCAACGACCCCCCGUGAGCCAAAAAAUUUUUCGGUAUGUAAAGCUCUUUCAACAGGGAAAAUUAUGACCGUACCUGACUAAAAAGCACCGGCUAAAUACCUGCCCACCGCCCCGGUAAUACCUAUGGGGCAAGCGUUAUCCGGAUUUACUGGGUGUAAAGGGAACGUAAGCGGUUUUACCAGUCUGAAGUGAAAGCCCGGGGCUCAACUCCCGUAUUGCAUUGGAAACUGGAAAACUAAAAUGGCCGAAGGGUAAGUGGAAUUCCUAAUGGAACGGUGAAAUGCCUAAAUUUUAAGAAGAACACCAGUGGCCAAAGGCGCUUACUGGACCAAUACUGACCCUGAAGCUCCAAAGCCUGGGGAGCAAACCGGAUUAAAUACCCUGGUAGUCCACGCCGUAAACCAAGAAUACUAAGUGUUGGCUUCCAUAGGGAGUCCGUGCCGCCGCUUACGCAAUAAGGAUUCCACCUGGGGAAUACCUUCGCAAGAAUGAAACUCCAAAGAAUUUA